CAGCAGCCGCGGGAAUACGGAGGGAGCUAGCGUUGUUCGGAAUUACUGGGCGUAAAGCGCACGUAGGCGGCUUUGUAAGUUAGAGGUGAAAGCCUGGAGCUCAACUCCAGAAUUGCCUUUAAGACUGCAUCGCUUGAAUCCGGGAGAGGUGAGUGGAAUUCCGAGUGUAGAGGUGAAAUUCGUAGAUAUUCGGAAGAACACCAGUGGCGAAGGCGGCUCACUGGACCGGCAUUGACGCUGAGGUGCGAAAGCGUGGGGAGCAAACAGGAUUAGAUACCCCGGUAGUCCCUGUCUCUUAUAC
rnacentral:rRNA from 1 species